rnacentral:rRNA from 1 species
AGAGCGAACGCUGGCGGCAGGCCUAAUACAUGCAAGUCGAGCGCACCUUCGGGUGAGCGGCGCACGGGUGCGUAACGCGUGGGAAUCUGCCCUUGGGUUCGGGAUAACAGUUGGAAACGACUGCUAAUACCGGAUGAUGUCUUCGGACCAAAGAUUUAUCGCCCAAGGAUGAGCCCGCGUAGGAUUAGCUUGUUGGUGAGGUAAGAGCUCACCAAGGCGACGAUCCUUAGCUGGUCUGAGAGGAUGAUCAGCCACACUGGGACUGAGACACGGCCCAGACUCCUACGGGAGCAGCAGUGGGAAUAUGGACAAUGGGCGAAAGCCUGAUCCAGCAAUGCCGCGUGAGUGAUGAAGGCCUAGGGUUGUAAAGCUCGUUUACCCGGAUGAUAAUGACAGUACCGGAAGAAUAAGCCCCGACUAACCUCCGUCGCCAGCAGCCGAC